UACGUAGGGUGCAAGCGUUAAUCGGAAUUACUGGGCGUAAAGCGUGCGCAGGCGGUUUUGUAAGUCUGACGUGAAAUCCCCGGGCUUAACCUGGGAAUUGCGUUGGAGACUGCAAGGCUGGAGUCUGGCAGAGGGGGGUAGAAUUCCCAGUGUAGAGGUGAAAUUCGUAGAUAUUGGGAAGAACACCGGUGGCGAAGGCGGCUCUCUGGACCGAAACUGACGCUGAGGCGCGAAAGCGUGGGGAGCAAACAGG
rnacentral:rRNA from 1 species